ACCUACGGGGGGCAGCAGUGGGGAAUAUUGCACAAUGGGCGAAAGCCUGACGUAGCGACGCCGCGUGAGGGAUGAAGGUCUUCGGAUCGUAAACCUCUGUCAGCAGGGAAGAACGGUCACUGUGCUAAUCAGCAGUGAAUUGACGGUACCUGCAAAGGAAGCACCGGCCAACUCCGUGCCAGCAGCCGCGGUAAUACGGAGGGUGCGAGCGUUAAUCGGAAUUACUGGGCGUAAAGCGCUCGUAGGCGGUAUGUCAAGUCAAGGGUGAAAUCCCCGCGCUCAACGUGGGAACUGCCUUUGAAACU
rnacentral:rRNA from 1 species